UGAGGGAAUAUUGGGGUCAAUGGGCGAGAGCCUGAACCAGCCAAGUCGCGUGAAGGAUGAAGGUUCUAUGGAUUGUAAACUUCUUUUAUUCGAGGGUAAAGUGAGGUAUGUAUACCUUAUUGCAAGUAUCGAAUGAAUAAGCAUCGGCUAACUCCGUGCCAGCAGCCGCGGUAAUACGGAGGAUGCGAGCGUUAUCCGGAUUUAUUGGGUUUAAAGGGUGCGUAGGCGGACGAUUAAGUCAGCGGUGAAAGCGUGUGGCUCAACCAUACCACUGCCGUUGAUACUGGUUGUCUUGAGUGUAAACGAGGUAGGCGGAAUGCGAGGUGUAGCGGUGAAAUGCAUAGAUAUCGCGCAGAACUCCGAUUGCGAAGGCAGCGUACUAUUCUCCAACUGACGCUGAGGCACGAAAGCGUGGGGAUCGAACAGGAUUAGAUACCCUGGUAGU
rnacentral:rRNA from 1 species